rnacentral:rRNA from 1 species
UACGGGGGGGGGCAAGCGUUGUUCGGAAUUACUGGGCGUAAAGGGCUCGUAGGCGGCCAACUAAGUCAGACGUGAAAUCCCUCGGCUUAACCGGGGAACUGCGUCUGAUACUGGAUGGCUUGAAUCCGGGAGAGGGAUGCGGAAUUCCAGGUGUAGCGGUGAAAUGCGUAGAUAUCAGGAGGAACACCGGUGGCGAAGGCGCACAUCUGGCCCGAUACUGACGCUGAGGCGCGAAAGCUAGGGGAGCAAACGGG